UAUGAAACAAAAGAAAUUUAAUUUCAAGAUAUUACAUGGAUAUAAAACACAAUGCAUGUUUCUUUACAAUUACACACACAUACAUUAUAUAUAUAUAUAUAUAUAUAUAUAUAUGGUCAAACAAGAAUGAGAAAGAAAAAUGGUGAAACCUUCUCUUAAGAAACCUAGUCAGGUUUUUGAGUGAGCUCAGGGACAGGGCAAAGUCAAACUUUGCUCCAAAGACAUACCCUGGGUGAGGGUAUGUUUUUCCUGACAGGUUGUGCUGGUCCCUACACAAGUCAGAGGCAGGCUCAAUGGCUCUUUAUUGUGGCUUUCGCCUCACACACUCCAGUUUCCAUGGUAACCCAAGCACUCCAGCUAUUUGUACUCCACCUCCUCACUAACCUGCCUCCAACAACUCUACCCUGAUUUCAGCAUUAGUUGUCUAAUAAAGUCAGCUUCCCACAGUGAGUUUGCCACUGGCUUAUCACCACUGCAUUCAAAAGCUUUGCAUCUUAGGGACUCAAAUUUUUCCCAAAUCCUGGGUAGUCCUGCUGGUAUUCAGGUUUAGAUCAGAUCCUGAUUUUAGUGCAAAGCCUUCAAAGUAAAGGAAGGAAAGAAUGAGGUUCUCUCCUGGGAAAAGCAGUUCUAUAUAGAAGAGGCCUCAGAAUGGAAGCCAUCACCUUCCAACUCCUUGCGAGGCCCUCAAAAAGCAUAGAAGUAGAUGGAGUCUAGAGAUGGCCAUUCUCAAAAAUGCUUCCCAUUGCAUGGUCACAGGGCCAGUCACUGUGGGGCACAGUCCCAGUGAUCACAAGUUUCCCUAGAAUGCAGUAUUUUAAACCAUAUGCUACCAUAGGCUCCUAUGAGGGAAGCUGAACAGAAAUAUUUCUACCCAGGAGGAAAGAAUGGCUCUGCUCUGAUACCAGGAUCAACUGCCUUCCUUAUGGGCCAACAAAACAGCCACUUGCCACAUCUAAUGGUCACAAUAGUCAACCACCUUGUACUACCCACUCCAUCUCCCAAGGGUGUCCCGUUGUCAUUCCUGACUGACUCUGGAAGGACAUUGAGGGUAAAGGGCUUUCCUUUGUGCAUGAUGAGCUGUAGUUCAGUUAUGAGUCAUUACCUACUCCUCUAGUAUGUUCUGGCACUCAGGUAUAACCACUAUCUCCUGAUCCUCUUUCACUGCUACAGUAGGGUUUUCAAACCAGAUUCAAUGGUCCCAAAUGCGAAGACCAUUGUUGCAAAAGGGUAAAAACUCAGUGCCUGUGACUUCCACUAAUUUACCCAAUGUAGCUCACCCCCAACAGAUCUGAAUCAAGGAAAUGGUCUGUGUUUUUAUGCUGUGUUCCUCUGGCACAAAUGCACUGGCCCAAAUUGACACCACAUCAAAACCCAAAGCAACUGACCCCAGAAAAAAAUGAAACUUUAAAAACCAUAAGAAGAGGCACUUCCAAAGAGAUUGUUCCAAUACGAAAAAUAAACACAAUAAAAGAGAUUUUUAAACAUCUUAUAGGUUAAAAAAAUUAAUUAAACACUGGCUCAAAAAUACCUGCCUACUAAGUCAUAAAGGACACAGUAACCUUCUGUGAAAUGAAAAAGGGUUUUUUCUGAGUUUAUCAUAAGAUUCCACAGGAUUAGAAUAGUUACAGAUUAUAAGGUAGAAAAUUUCGCUCCUUACUCUUCAAAUUUGGUUUCCAGCUGGAUCCCAGCUUCUAUAAGAAAAAUGACCUAUAAUACCCUUAAAACAAUGGUCACAUUUUCAAUAAAUAAAUACACAUAACCAUAUACACAUAUAAACUGCCCAAGCAUGUGCACGUGGUAAACACCUCUCUCGUCAUCCUCACCCCAGAACGCUGCCCUAAGUGACUGAUCCCUUUAGCAUAUCCUAAGUCUCAGCCAUUUCUUUCAAACAGCACCAAAUGACUGGAUGACAAGCAGGCAUUGUGUCACUGCACUGCUCCGUCCACCUGACACCAGACCAUACUUAAGAGACCACC
ensembl:lncRNA